UGAAUACGAGACGCUAAGGCGUUGAAGUAGUGUAUGUCAUACUUCCAAGAAAAGCUUGCACUGUCAUAGAUAAAAAACGCCUGUACCAUAACCGACACAGGUGGGUAGGUAGAGUAUACUAAGGGGCGCGAGAUAACUCUCUCUAAGGAACUCGGCAAAAUAACUCCGUAACUUCGGGAGAAGGAGUGCCUUAUUUAUAAGGCUGCAAUAACAAGAUCCAAGCAACUGUUUAUCAAAAACACAGGUCUCCGCUAAGUCGUAAGACGAUGUAUGGGGGCUGACGCCUGCCCAGUGCCAGAAGGUUAAAGAAGUUGGUUAGCAAUAGCGAAGCUGAUAACUGAAGCCCUGGUGAACGGCGGCCGUAACCAUAACGGUCCUAAGGUAGCGAAAUUCCUUGUCGGGUAAGUUCCGACCCGCACGAAAGGCGUAAUGAUUUGGAUACUGUCUCGGAGAGGGGCUCGGUGAAAUAGACUUGUCUGUGAAGAUGCGGACUACCUGCACCAGGACAGAAAGACCCUAUGAAGCUUUACUGUAACUUGAAAUUGAAAUUGGACUUUAUUCGCGCAGUAUAGGGAGGCGUUGAUUGUAAUCUUGCGGGAUUAUUGGAGCCAUCAGUGAGAUACCACCCUUGUAAUGUUAGAUUUCUAACUUUGAAUCAUUAUCUGGUCAAAGAACAGUUUCAGGCGGGCAGUUUGACUGGGGCGGUCGCCUCCUAAACGGUAACGGAGGCGUACAAAGGUUUCCUCUGAACGGUUAGAAAUCGUAUCUAGAGUGUAAAGGCAUAAGGAAGCUUGACUGUGAGACCUACAAGUCGAGCAGGGACGAAAGUCGGUCUUAGUGAUCUGACGGUACUGAGUGGAAAGGCCGUCACUCAACGGAUAAAAGUUACUCUAGGAUAACAGGCUGAUCUCCCCCAAGAGUUCACAUCGACGGGGAGGUUUGGCACCUGAUGUCGGCUCAUCGCAUCCUGGGGCGGUAGUACGUCCCAAGGGUUGGGCUGUUCGCCCAUGAAAGCGGUACGCGAGCUGGGUUCAGAACGUCGUGAGACAGUUCGGUCCAUAUCCGGUGUAGGCGUUAGAAUAUUGAGAGGAGCCUUCUUUAGUACGAGAGGACCGAGAAGGACAUACCUCUGGUGUACCAGUUAUCGUGCCAACGGUAAACGCUGGGUAGCUAUGUAUGGAGUGGAUAACCGCUGAAAGCAUCUAAGUGGGAAGCCCACCUCAAGAUAAGUAUUCU
rnacentral:rRNA from 1 species